rnacentral:rRNA from 1 species
UACGGGGGGGGGCAAGCGUUGUUCGGAUUCAUUGGGCGUAAAGGGUGCGUAGGCGGCGCGGUAAGUCGGGUGUGAAAUCUUGGAGCUUAACUCCGAAACUGCAUUCGAUACUGCCGUGCUUGAGGACUGGAGAGGAGACUGGAAUUUACGGUGUAGCGGUGAAAUGCGUAGAUAUCGUAAGGAAGACCAGUGGCGAAGGCGGGGUCUCUGGACAGUUCCUGACACUGAGGCACGAAGGCCAGGGGAGCAAACGGG